rnacentral:tRNA from 4 species
GCCAGCUUAGCUCAGAGGGUAGAGCAUCGCACUUGUAAUGCGAGGGUCGUCGGUUCGAUUCCGAUAGCUGGCU